rnacentral:misc_RNA from 1 species
GAUGAAGGAACGUAGCGAAAUGCGAUAAGUAAUGUGAAUUGCAGAAUUCAGUGAAUCAUCGAAUCUUUGAACGCACAUUGCGCCCGCCAGCAUUCUGGCGGGCAUGCCUGUUCGAGCGUCAUUUCAACCCUCGAGCCCCCCCGGGGGCCUCGGUGUUGGGGGACGGCACACCAGCCGCCCCCGAAAUGCAGUGGCGACCCCGCCGCAGCCUCCCCUGCGUAGUAGCACACACCUCGCACCGGAGCGCGGAGGCGGUCACGCCGUAAAACGCCCAACUUUCUUAGAGUUGACCUCGGAUCAGGUAGGAAUACCCGCUGAACUUAAGCAUAUCAAUAAGCGGAGGA